rnacentral:rRNA from 1 species
GAGAAUCUGCCUAGAGGAUGGGGACAACCACGGGAAACUGUGGCUAAUACCCAAUGAGCGGAGACGUUAAAGAUUUAUCGCCUCUAGAGGAGCUCGCGUCUGAUUAGCUAGUUGGUGGGGUAAAAGCCUACCAAGGCGACGAUCAGUAGCUGGUCUGAGAGGACAACCAGCCACACUGGGACUGAGACACGGCCCAGACUCCUACGGGAGGCAGCAGUGGGGAAUUUUCCGCAAUGGGCGAAAGCCUGACGGAGCAAUACCGCGUGAGGGAGGAAGGCUCUUGGGUCGUAAACCUCUUUUCUCAGGGAAGAAGAAAGUGACGGUACCUGAGGAAUCAGCCUCGGCUAACUCCGUGCCAGCAGCCGCGGUAAUACGGAGGAGGCAAGCGUUAUCCGGAAUUAUUGGGCGUAAAGCGUCCGUAGGUGGCUCUUCAAGUCUGCUGUCAAAGAGUGGGGCUUAACUCCAGAAAGGCAGUGGAAACUGAAAGGCUAGAGAUCCGUAGGGGUAGAGGGAAUUCCCGGUGUAGCGGUGAAAUGCGUAGAGAUCGGGAAGAACAUCGGUGGCGAAAGCGCUCUACUGGACGGUAUCUGACACUGAGGGACGAAAGCUAGGGGAGCGAAUGGGAUUAGAUACCCCAGUAGUCCUAGC